rnacentral:misc_RNA from 1 species
CAGAGUUCAUGCCCUUCGGGGUAGACCUCCCACCCUUUGUUAUACAUACCUUUGUUGCUUUGGCGGGCCGCCUUCGGGCUAUCGGCUUCGGCUGGUGCGCGCCCGCCAGAGAACCUAAAAUUCUGAUUUACAGUGUCGUCUGAGUACUAUAUAAUAGUUA